GGAAGUAAAAGUCGUAGCAAGGUCUCCGUAGGUGAACCUGCGGAGGGAUCAUUACAGAGUUCAUGCCCUACCGGGUAGAUCUCCCACCCUAUGUUAUUAUUACUUUGUUGCUUUGGCGGGCCGUUAGGCUCCGGCCCGACUACCGGCCCCGGCUGGUAAGCGCCCGCCAGAGGACCCAAAACCCUGAAUAUUAGUGUCGUCUGAGUACUAUAUAAUAGUUAAAACUUUCAACAACGGAUCUCUUGGUUCUG
rnacentral:misc_RNA from 1 species